AGCCCACUCUAGCCCAAUCACCUUACACCCCCCCCCGCAAAAGAAAUUACUAAAACACAAAACUAAAACAUUCUCCCGUCUAAGUAUAGGCGAUAGAAAAGACAUCUGGAGCAAUAGAUCGUAGUACCGCAAGGGAAAGAUGAAAUAACAGUGAAAACCUAAGCAAUAAACAGCAAAGACUAACCCUUGUACCUUUUGCAUCAUGAUCUAGCAAGAACAACCAAGCAAAACGAAAUUUAAGCUUGCCCCCCCGAAACCCAAGCGAGCUACUCACAAGCAGCUAUUUAUGAGCAAACCCGUCUCUGUGGCAAAAGAGUGGGAAGACUUGUUAGUAGAGGUGAAAAGCCUAUCGAGCUGGGUGAUAGCUGGUUGCCUGUGAAACGAAUCUAAGUUCCCCCUUAAUUUUACCCACAAGACCAAACCACUUUUCCCGUAGAAAUUAAGAGUAAUUUAAAGGAGGUACAACUCCUUUAAAAAAGAACACAAUCUCUGCUAGAGGAUAAGCCAGUCCACUCCAUACUUGUAGGCCUUCAAGCAGCCAUCAACAAAGAAUGCGUCAAAGCCCUAUACAACAAAAAUAUAAGAACAUAUACGACUCCCUAAUCUAUAACAGGCUAACCUAUCAAAAAUAGGAGCAUUAAUGCUAGAAUAAGUAACCAAGGAAAUUCCUUCUAAAGCACAAACUUACGUACUACAUCAAUUAACAGAACAACUAAUAUUCCAACCACUACAAGACCAGAUAUUAAACACAACUGUUAUACCAACUCAGGAGUGCCUAAAUAGAAAGAUUUAAACCUGUAAAAGGAACUAGGCAAACCCAAGGCCCGACUGUUUACCAAAAACAUAGCCUUCAGCAAACCAAGUAUUGAAGGUGACGCCUGCCCGGUGACACAAAGUUUAACGGCCGCGGUAUCCUAACCGUGCAAAGGUAGCGCAAUCAAUUGUCCCAUAAAUCGAGACUUGUAUGAACGGCCAAACGAGGUCUUAACUGUCUCUUACAGGUAAUCAGUGAAAUUGAUCUCCCCGUGCAAAAGCGGGGAUAAACCCAUAAGACGAGAAGACCCUGUGGAACUUAAAAAACAGCAGCCACUCCAAAUCAAAUUAAACCCACUUGGCCCACUACCAAGGACAACUGGCCUGCAUAUUUUCGGUUGGGGCGACCUUGGAGAAAAGCAUAUCCUCCAAAAACAAGACCACACCUCUUCACCAAGAUCAACAACUCAACGUACUAAUAGUGACCAGACCCAGCAAAGCUGACCAAUGGACCAAGCUACCCCAGGGAUAACAGCGCAAUCCCCUUCAAGAGCUCAUAUCGACAAGGGGGUUUACGACCUCGAUGUUGGAUCAGGACAUCCUAAUGGUGCAGCCGCUAUUAAGGGUUCGUUUGUUCAACGAUUAAUUAGUCCUACGUGAUCUGAGUUCAGACCGGAGCAAUCCAGGUCGGUUUCUAUCUAUGACCGUACCUCUCCUAGUACGAAAGGACCGGAGAAGUAAGGCCAAUGCUACAAGCACGCCUUCCCUAAAAGUAAUGAACACAUCUAAAUUACCAAAGGGCCAACAAAAACAACCCUAAACAAGGGCGG
rnacentral:rRNA from 1 species